AGGGUUCGAUUCUGGCUCAGGACGAACGCUGGCGGCGUGCUUAACACAUGCAAGUCGAACGGGAGUAUUGAAGAAGCUUGCUUUAGAGAUACUUUAGUGGCGGACGGGUGAGUAACGCGUGAGGAGCUGUCCUAUGCAGGGGGACAACAGCUGGAAACGGCUGCUAAUACCCCAUAAGCCGAGAGGUAAAAGGAUCAAUCCGGCAGAGGAGGUACUCGCGUCCUAUCAGCUAGUAGGUGAGGUAACGGCUCACCUAGGCGAAGACGGGUAGCCGGCCUGAGAGGGCGAACGGCCACACUGGAACUGAGAUACGGUCCAGACUCCUACGGGAGGCAGCAGUGGGGAAUAUUGGGCAAUGGGGGAAACCCUGAACCCCCAGCGACGCCGCGUGGGUGAAGAAAUCCUUCGGGAUGUAAAGCCCUGUUGUAUGGAAGAGCGGAAGACGGUACCAUACGAGGAAGCCCCGGCAAACUACGUGCCAGCAGCUGC
rnacentral:rRNA from 1 species